rnacentral:ncRNA from 1 species
CCAUAAACCACCACCCUUCUUGUGGUGCCCGGAACGCUCUUGUCGGACCUUGAAAAUCCGAGCGAGGCAGUAUAAUUUUCGUGGCAGGCCGUAUCCAUAUCCGCAGCAGGUCUCCACGGUGAACAGCCUCUGGCAAUUGAACAAUGUGGGUAAGGGAAGUUGGCAAAUUGGAUCCAUAACUUUGGGAGAAGGAUUGGCUCUGGGGGCCGAGAUCAUAUACGUGCCGGUCCAUUUGAGGGCUGGUUUCUUUGCUGCUUUGUAUGCUUCGGUGCGCGUUGUGAUGAGGUUAUUGAACUCUGACCCGGGUCGAUCGUGGGCGGUUUCAGCUGUAAGUGUCAUGCAGCUAGCAACGCGCGAAGGCAUGUUCCACGUUGUGUCAAGCGGCUGUACUUCCAUGGUCUGGCGCGCGAUGGCUAACUCAGAACUGCCACGGACCAGGGGAAUCCGACUGUCUAAUUAAAACAAAGCAUUGCGAUGUCCACUGAUUGGUUUUGACGCAAUGUUAUUUCUGCCUAGUGCUCUGAAUGUCAAAGUGAAGAAAUUCAACCAAGUGCGGGUAAAUG